rnacentral:lncRNA from 1 species
CCCGAAGAUUGAAGAAUCUUUUCUCUACCAGCAACAUCAAGCUAUCGACGGUGACAUGUCUGCCAAAAUCUCCAGGCCUUAAACUUCUAACUAGAUUAUUAUUGUAUAAAAUGUAAAUCGGUCAAAUCAAAAUCUAAACGGUUAUUCAAAGAACAAAUAAUUGACAGAAUAUUGAAAGAGAAAUAACCUUGUAUACUUAGUUAAUUCAAAAUGAGGAGCAGUAAAUCUCAAUUCAUGUCCAAUAACCUUGUAUACCUAGUUAAGGUAGCAACUUCAACGUAAUGUGAAUCUUUCCACACAUGAGAAUGUGUUCUGAGGAUAACUCGAACUUCUCCUUGAGAUAAGACCCGCAAUUUUCCUGCAUAAUCGAUGGAGAAAAAAACUCUCCUAAAUCUAAUACAAAUAAGUGAAUAUAUUUAUUUAACCACAUAACCAUAUAUAUUAGAGAUCUUACACAUGAAAGCAAAUCCAUACAAUCUCUACCAACCAGCCUUGUAUCUCCACUCCUAUGGCAGAUUUAAGAAAAAACACAAAACAUGAUUGUUGUCUCUCUCUUCAGGCAAAUAUUAUAUAUUUUUAUGAAGUAAUAAAUCUAGUUCCAUAAAACACAAAACACACCAAAAAAUCAUUUUAAUUUUUUUAAUCGAUAAAAUAAACCGGCACCCAUGACAAAAAAUCAAAACUGAAAAAUGGGUAUCAGUACUCAAUGCGCAUUCAUUAGAUUGGUGAAAUAACCGUAGGAUAUAGAUCAAUGGUGAAGGAAAUCGAAAAUGAAUAUGACAAUAAUCAUUACAUAUGAUUAAGAACCCUAAAUUAAUUCAAACUUCACUUAAUUUUAAAAACAAAAUCAAAUUUAGGGUGUGUUCUGCAAAAACCAUAAAACACGAAUAACAUUGGAAGAGAGAGAGAGAAUACCUGAAAUUUUCGAGGGCUUUGCGGCGGCGGCGGCAGUAGCGGCAGCAGCGGAGGUGGCGGC